UAGGGAAUCUUCCACAAUGGACGCAAGUCUGAUGGAGCAACGCCGCGUGAGUGAAGAAGGUCUUCGGAUCGUAAAACUCUGUUGUUAGAGAAGAACACGAGUGAGAGUAACUGUUCAUUCGAUGACGGUAUCUAACCAGAAAGCCACGGCUAACUACGUGCCAG
rnacentral:rRNA from 1 species